rnacentral:tRNA from 1 species
UGCGGUCGGCAGACUGGUUGUCGCCCUCGCCCGAGUUCUCGGCGGGAGCGCCAUCGGCGAACGUCGAGCCGACGGGGUUCGAGCCCCCGCGACGGCGAC